AGUGCAGGACACCUGUAACUGUGAACAGUCUCUGUGUCCAGAAACUUGACACACGUUUAUUGCUUUCUACCCUGCUUUCCAGCAUUCUUGUGACAACCCUCCUCCCAUGGUUGAAGUUCUUUUUCAUGUGUGCUUAGAGACACACUUGGAACUUGGAAAGUGGAAAAAGUCAGGAUGGAUGAAGUGAACUGUUUGCAUACAGAUGUUCUGAAAAGUCAGAGCUCCCUCUAUCGAUUGAGACUGCAGGAAGGACACUUGUUCUGCAUACAGAAAAAGGUCUUUGGAUGCAGCUUCUUCAAUCAAAAUUUCUUUGCUUCACUCAAAAACUACAAACACUGCUAAUUCAGACCUCCUUGCCCUCCUCAUUGGAUGCCGUUCUGCUCUGAAACUACAGCAACUACAAAGCACAUCAGUGCUGUUGGAUAGAGUACGUGCUCAGACACAAAACGCUAUUUUCCAACAUAGUCACCACCAUUAGUUACGCAUUUUAGCUUGUGAUGAACAAGAGAUUGCAUGCCACACUCAUGACUACUGGCACUGCUGAAGUGCAGCACCCUCCCCUCACUGUGCUCACAGCCACUGCUUGGUCCCCAUACAUGCUGUGUUGAUGAAUGCACACCAGAUGCUCCCAGCUGCACAGCACCGAUCAGCACAGGCUGAGGAAAAGGGUCAGAGACUACUAAGUGUGCAUAUAACAUCUUUACUGGCAUUAUUCAUUUUUAUUUUCUGGAACAAAUCUGGACUAAUGACAAUUGGACUCUCAGAUGUCAAUUAUACUAAAAUUAAUUUCUUGGCUCUCCUGUAUUUUAGUGUCCUUCCACUUUGUCCAUAAAGACAACUUUGAGCACAAGGUCACUCCAGCGCUUCACAAAGGUGACAGCCACCAGGCAGGGAAAGGCAGUGCCUGGCACAACAUCGUCAUUCGAAGCAAUUAAGCAACUGAAGAUCAAUUUCUGUGCCUGUAAAAUAACCCUCAGCCUACUCUUGACCUAUCACUCCGCAAUUACACCACUACACAAUCUGCUAUUAUCUUAUCUUGUUGCAAGAUGCAAACAAUGCAACCCUAUCCCUGCACAAAGCACAGCACUGCGUUGCAGCCCUUCUGCUGGAGCAGGAGAGCAGUGGUCACUGUGGCAUACUGCACACAGCUACUGAAUUGCAUCUUCUGGAAGUUCAGAUCUGUAGCUGUAGCUACUUGCAGCAUUAUCUUCGAAAAUUAUUUCCUGAGACUGAAAUGAUCCUGAUGCCCCUCACACACCAACCCAUCCAAAUUUCCGUGGUACAUCACUGCCAAGUAUGCAUACGCUCCUAUUUACAGCGAAGAAAAGCUCCUCCUCCUCGUUACAAACCACGCCAACUCUGCACGAUCUGUGGUGUUUUAACAUGAUUCAGCUGCAUGUACUGCAAGUUAAUACAUUAUUUCCAGAAGGGCUCCUGACUGACUUCAUCUGUUUA